rnacentral:rRNA from 1 species
CGCGUAGGCGGCUUGGUAAGUCAGAUGUGAAAGCCCACGGCUUAACCGUGGAAGUGCAUUUGAAACUGCCAGACUUGAGUACCAGAGGGGAAAGUGGAAUUCCCGGUGUAGAGGUGAAAUUCGUAGAUAUCGGGAGGAAUACCGGUGGCGAAGGCGACUUUCUGGCUGAGUACUGACGCUGAGGCGCGAAAGCGUGGGGAGCAAACA